rnacentral:misc_RNA from 1 species
AACCAUAGAAACCUGCGGAGUACCUGCGGAGGGAUCAUUACACAAAUUAAAAUAUGAAGGCUUCGGCUGGAUUAUUUUUAUCACCCUUGUCUUUUGCGCACUUGUUGUUUCCUGGGCGGGUUCGCCCGUCACCAGGACCACACCAUAAACCUUUUUUUAUGCAGUUGCAAUCAGCGUCAGUAUAACAAAUGUAAAUCAUUUACAACUUUUAACAAUGGAUCUCAGAUCGGAAGAGCACAC